UUAGUGAAAUUGAUGGUUUUAACGAGGUAACCAUCGAUUUUUGUUUCCUCAUAUUUUUAUGUUUAGUAACAUUAUAAAUUCCACGUGGUCUUGACUAUAGGUCUAAGGAGAUACCUGAAAUGUCACUUAACUCUUAUACAGGAGAGUAAUUGCAAGAAAUGAAAUGAAUGUUCUGCAUGUAUGGUCAACAUGGCGUGCAAUGACGUACUGUACAGUAUAUGAAAAGUUAUCCAAUUACUACUAUUAUUUAUUGAAAACAGUUGAAGAAUUCAGUUAACCUGUAUAAUUACUUGAAUAAUAAUAAAAACAGGAAAAUUUGCGAAUAGAAGAAUUAUUUAUAUAUGAAUAUUAUAUAAAUAAUUUUAGUGAAUAUUGUUGUGAGUUAUGUGACACCGUACAAGGUUAAACAGGUGUUAUGAUAACUAUGCAUUCUGUUUUCCUCUAGUGAAAGAAACAAUUGUGUUGAAUGACAGUUUAAUACAAUGUUAAAGUGGAUGUUUUUGUAUAUUAAAUAGUUGAAUUUGCUAAACAUGAUUCUAAUGAACUUUUUUAUCCAGCUGACAGUCGGCAACACAAUGGUUCAAGUACAGUAUUGUCUCUAGAUAAGAUCAAACUGUGUGGCUGCAGAUGUCAUGAGAAAAUGAACACAAAAGUUAUGCCAUGCUUUAAUUAGAGAGCUAGGACAUGCCAAAACUUCUUGAACAUAGUGCAGUCGGUGUUUUCUCAACUUGUGGUCCGUGAUAAUGGCACGGGUGGUUUGCGGGCAGACUUAAAUUAGAAUAUGUUUCUGCAUCCAUUUUGCAUUAGAAGUAGGUAAGGAAAGUGUUGGAAGUUCUAGUUUUUCUUUCAUACAUGUACUCGGAUACCAAACGUCAACCAUCAGUCGAUAUACCUAGGGUUGCCAUAACUGCCAUGCAUUGAUAUGGGACAUUUAUUUAACUGCUAAAUAAAUAAAACAUGAAAAAGUUUCUAUACUGGUGGUUUAAGGGGUCCAGCAGAACAGCACUGGGUGCCCUAUCUUAG